rnacentral:rRNA from 1 species
GGUAUAGACCCGAAACCCGGUGAUCUAGCCAUGGGCAGGUUGAAGGUUGGGUAACACUAACUGGAGGACCGAACCGACUAAUGUUGAAAAAUUAGCGGAUGACUUGUGGCUGGGGGUGAAAGGCCAAUCAAACCGGGAGAUAGCUGGUUCUCCCCGAAAGCUAUUUAGGUAGCGCCUCGUGAAUUCAUCUUCGGGGGUAGAGCACUGUUUCGGCUAGGGGGUCAUCCCGACUUACCAACCCGAUGCAAACUACGAAUACCGAAGAAUGUUAUCACGGGAGACACACGGCGGGUGCUAACGUCCGUCGUGAAGAGGGAAACAACCCAGACCGCCAGCUAAGGUCCCAAAGUCAUGGUUAAGUGGGAAACGAUGUGGGAAGGCACAGACAGCCAGGAUGUUGGCUUAGAAGCAGCCAUCAUUUAAAGAAAGCGUAAUAGCUCACUGGUCGAGUCGGCCUGCGCGGAAGAUGUAACGGGGCUAAACCAUGCACCGAAGCUGCGGCAGCGACGCUUAUGCGUUGUUGGGUAGGGGAGCGUUCUGUAAGCCUGCGAAGGUGGCCUGUGAGGGUUGCUGGAGGUAUCAGAAGUGCGAAUGCUGACAUAAGUAACGAUAAAGCGGGUGAAAAGCCCGCUCGCCGGAAGACCAAGGGUUCCUGUCCAACGUUAAUCGGGGCAGGGUGAGUCGACCCCUAAGGCGAGGCCGAAAGGCGUAGUCGAUGGGAAACAGGUUAAUAUUCCUGUACUUGGUGUUACUGCGAAGGGGGGACGGAGAAGGCUAUGUUAGCCGGGCGACGGUUGUCCCGGUUUAAGCAUGUAGGCUGGUUAUCCAGGCAAAUCCGGAUAAUCAAGGCUGAGGUGUGAUGACGAGGCACUACGGUGCUGAAGUAACAAAUGCCCUGCUUCCAGGAAAAGCCUCUAAGCAUCAGGUAACAUCAAAUCGUACCCCAAACCGACACAGGUGGUCAGGUAGAGAAUACCAAGGCGCUUGAGAGAACUCGGGUGAAGGAACUAGGCAAAAUGGUGCCGUAACUUCGGGAGAAGGCACGCUGGUGUGUAGGUGAAGCCCCUGCGGGUGGAGCUGAGACCAGUCGAAGAUACCAGCUGGCUGCAACUGUUUAUUAAAAACACAGCACUGUGCAAACACGAAAGUGGACGUAUACGGUGUGACGCCUGCCCGGUGCCGGAAGGUUAAUUGAUGGGGUUAUCCGUAAGGAGAAGCUCUUGAUCGAAGCCCCGGUAAACGGCGGCCGUAACUAUAACGGUCCUAAGGUAGCGAAAUUCCUUGUCGGGUAAGUUCCGACCUGCACGAAUGGCGUAAUGAUGGCCAGGCUGUCUCCACCCGAGACUCAGUGAAAUUGAACUCGCUGUGAAGAUGCAGUGUACCCGCGGCAAGACGGAAAGACCCCGUGAACCUUUACUAUAGCUUGACACUGAACAUUGAGCCUUGAUGUGUAGGAUAGGUGGGAGGCUUUGAAGCGUGGACGCCAGUCUGCGUGGAGCCAACCUUGAAAUACCACCCUUUAAUGUUUGAUGUUCUAACGUUGGCCCCUUAUCGGGGUUGCGGACAGUGUCUGGUGGGUAGUUUGACUGGGGCGGUCUCCUCCCAAAGCGUAACGGAGGAGCACGAAGGUUAGCUAAUCCUGGUCGGACAUCAGGAGGUUAGUGCAAUGGCAUAAGCUAGCUUGACUGCGAGCGUGACGGCGCGAGCAGGUGCGAAAGCAGGUCAUAGUGAUCCGGUGGUUCUGAAU